GGCAGCCCAUUAGAAUGAAGACCCACGUGUAAAAUAUCCAGGAACUUCUUCCCAGACGAAAAGCUUACCCUGCAAAAACAAAACGAAAAUUCAAUCUCUGAGAGAAACUUCGACAUUAGAACCGCUUCCCCCGCAAUUUCUUCAUCCUUCACUCUCAUCCUCCCUACAAAAUCCACCAAGGUAGAAUUAUAUGGAUUGAGGAGAGGCAAUAUAACAAGGUUUAAGGAUGACAGCUGCACAACUUUGUGGUGGCAAAUUAUCAGCGGCAUUUGCCAACACUAGGAGAAGAUGGAGCAAGGCAGCUGGAUCAAGUUCUGUGGGGCAAUCAUGUAGAUUUAGUUAUUCACUUCCAUUGGCUAUACGGAAGAGUUGUGAAGAUGUUUCUGGAAUCUGCAAUUUGUCUGCUGACAGAAGAAAGUUGCCUCACAAAUCUUUUAUUCAUUGUAGAAAACCUUUUCAUAAUGUGACACGCAGUUUGUUGGAUUCGGAUUGCACUAUUGAGCCUUGUGAUGUGGAGGAGGAUUCUCAUGAUUUAGUGGAGAGUGCUGCAGAAGAGAGUACGUUAGAAAAGAAUAAUGGUGUUAAUGGUUCAAGUGAGUCUGUACUUCAGCCCCUGAACCAGUUGCCUCCUCCAAAUGUCAAACGGGAGCUUAUAAUGCUUUCUUUACCGGCAAUAGCUAGCCAGGCCAUUGAUCCUAUGGCUCAGCUGAUGGAGACAGCUUAUAUUGGUAGUUUAGGUCCUGUACAACUGGCAUCAGCUGGUGUUUCUAUGUCGAUCUUUAAUAUCAUUUCGAAGCUAUUCAACAUACCACUUCUUAGUGUUGCUACUUCUUUCGUAGCUGAAGAUUUAGCAAAGUCUUCUUCAGAUGGCGAUGAAAAAAAUGAAAGAAAACAGUUAUCAUCAGUUUCGACAGCGUUAUUUCUCGCUCUAGGCAUUGGCAUCAUUGAGGCGCUAGCUUUACUUUUGGGAGCUGGAUCAUUCCUCAGGUUAAUGGGUGUCUCAGCAGAUUCUCCUAUGCGAGUACAAGCUGAGAAGUUUCUGUCGCUUAGAGCUCUUGGUGCCCCCGCUGUUGUACUUUCUUUGGCUCUUCAGGGUGUGCUGAGGGGAUUUAAGGACACAAAAACCCCUGUAUUCUGUCUAGGUGUCGCCAAUCUUGCAGCUGUUUUUCUGUUCCCGCUUUUCAUAAAUUAUUUUCAGAUGGGUGUCACUGGAGCAGCCACUGCCACUGUUGUGUCUCAAUACAUAGGUAGCUUCUUGAUGAUUUGGUUUCUUAGCAAGAGAGUAAUAUUAUUACCUCCAAAAUUUGGAGAUCUGAAGUUUGGGGUCUAUUUAAAAUCUGGUGGAUUUCUGAUUGGAAGAACUGUGGCUGUUUUGAUAACUAUGACGAUUGGCACCUCAAUGGCUGCUCGUCAAGGUCCUCUAGCUAUGGCUGCUCAUCAAAUCUGUAUGCAAGUGUGGUUGGCUGUCUCUCUUUUAACUGAUGGAUUGGCCGCAUCUGGUCAGGCUCUGGUUGCUAGUUCUUUGUCAAGAGGUGACUACAAUGCAGUGAAAGAGUUGACUAACUUUGUUUUGAAGAUUGGGAUAGUUACUGGUGGCGCUUUAGCCGUGAUUUUGGGAUCAUCUUUUGGGUCUUUAGCGAACUUGUUCACGAAGGAUCCUGCUGUACUGCAGAUUGUAAAAUCCGGUACUUGGUUUGUCAGUGCAAGCCAGCCACUCAACUCUUUAGCUUUUAUCUUUGAUGGUCUUCAUUUUGGUGUGUCCGAUUUUUCAUACGCUGCUUAUUCCAUGAUGUUCGCAGGGGCAAUUUCGUCGGCUGUCCUUCUCUAUGCUCCCUCAGUAAUGGAUCUUCCUGGUGUUUGGCUCGGGUUGACCCUUUUUAUGGGCUUGCGCAUGGCUGCAGGAUAUUUUAGAAUUCUGUCAAAGAAUGGUCCAUGGUGGUUCUUGCACGGGGACUCGCAGAAACUUCCGGCCAUCAAUCAAUUUGGAUCCAACUGAAACGGUCAGCGACAGCGAUUCAAAUGGUGCCGAACUUUGAUUCUUCAAAAUUUUCCUUAGGUACUAACUUGAGAACUCUAUCAGACGGAUGCCCCAGCCGACGAUGCCAUAACUCAAAUGUAGAAACUUCAGGAACGGUCACCGCACACACUGUAGGUAUUUUCCGAAAAUAAUAUAUUCCAUCCCUUCGUUCACCGGCUCCAAUCAGGCUCCCCGCACGUUUGUCCUGUAUAGCACAAAGAGAGUCACAAAGAAAGUCGGUGAAUUGGACAAAACAUUUAGAAUCAUUAAUCAAUUGCGACACCGAUAUUAAAUUGCAAUGCAAAGUAGGAACAUAAAAAAAUUGUGAAGAAUUAAUGUGCUUGAUAGUACUGCUUGACCCUCCAUGGUAGCAAUAACAUUAUUUCCGUCCGGUAAACCAACUGGAGAGGCAAUAAUAGACUCCAUAUUUGUCAACCGAGAAGAGUCACCAGUGACAUGGCGUGACGCGCCGGUGUCAAUUAUCCAAGGUAACGAGGAACACGCACCUAUCAUCUUGUCUAACUGAGAACUAUUACUGUUUAGCAUACAGUCUGGCUGAUGGGAGGACUGGGGCCUACUAUACUCCACGUGGCUCGCUGGAGUACCACCAUUAGAGGAACCCACGAGACUGCUCUCUCCUAUAACCUCCACGGUGUUGGCUCGUGUAGGUACCCCACGACCGCGACCUGCUGCAGCACCCCGCGAAGCACCCCCCGCCCCUUAGAACGUUCUGCUUCAUCUCUUCGUACCAUUUCGGGCAGCCAUGGAGUUUAAAGCAGGUGCUAUUGUCAUGUCUGUCACACUUGCAGUGGGUGCAAGUAAGGUGUGACUUAUCAGGCCGCUCAAAAUGAGGCUUUACACAUUCAGUUUGUAGAAAAUGGACUUAAUUUGCACCCCUUCCUUCACAGCCUUGGUAUUAGCAAUGUCACGGGAGCGUUCUUCUUGGAUGUUGCAUAUAAGUCAUCAUCAACACUGAUCGGGAAUUGGUGCAGAAUCUCCUCAUCCUCUCAUCCUGGUCCGCGGCUAUUUUCCCAGUCAUAUCACACGUGUAGGUACCAUUGGACCAGAUCAUCGUACAAUCCCGUGAGCAUGGUAUAAUAAUCUUCCAUGAACAUUCUCUUACCUUGCUUACAAGCCGUAAUUUGACGUCUUGAUUGUUGAAGACGAGGCCCAUUUACAACACCAUACUUCUUCGCCAAGAAAUCCCCCAGUUUCUUUGCAUUGUCAUGAAAGGGAAUAGGAGCAGCAAUCCCGGGUUCCAUGCUCCUAAACAUCCAACAGACUAGCAUUGAAUUAACAGUCACCCAAUCAAGUUGUUUCUUUUCCUUAGUAGGUUGUGUAAAUGUUCCAUUUACAAACAUAAAUUUUCGGCGAGAUUGUAGAGCCAAUUGCAUUGCCAUAGCCCACGCCAUAUAGUUUUCACCCCGUAGCAAUACGUGAGUGAUUAUGGUCCCCGGUUGAUCCACAAAACUUAAGUUAGUAAUAGGAGAUGCGGGAUCGAUCUUGCCAUCACCUUCCAUGGUUAUUCAAGAAAUCAGGCUGGUGAAAGUGUGAAACCUUGAAGGAAGAAACGGACGAGUAUAGAAAACGGAAGAAUGGAAAAGAAAAAAAAAAUUGUAGGUUAAGGUUUGCUAGGAUGCUAGCUCCGAUACCAUGACAAAUUAAUUAGGGUAAAUUCUUUUUUAGCCUUGUAUUUCAUAGUAAUUUGUGUUAUAUAGUACAACUCUAAGCUAUGGGGUUUUAGGUUAAAUACAUUAAAUACAAUUAUAUCCUUAAAGCCCAAUUACAAUGUAUAAGCCCUAAUAUCAAGGCUUAUAUGAACCUAUUUUCACAAAAUGGCAUUUGUACGACUACCAUUUUGGCGGGAAAGCUGCCACUUUUUCACUACUUUAUUGAUCGAACAAGCGUGGUCUGGUCCCCCCUGAGCCGGGGGGUGCUUGCGGGGAGGGCGACAAAAGCUUCACUUAAGCAAGUAAAUCAAGUUUGGGAUGUCACUUAAGUGAUGUUUUAUCUAUACUAAUAUAUUAAAAGGCGUUGAUAAACAAGCCUAUGUGCCACGUGGCACUCGCACUAAUCUCAUUUCAAUUUUCCAUGUCAUACACAAUUAUUUAAAAAUGAUAAAUAUGUGUGGUACAAGUCUUGAACCCCUGACCUCUAAUUGUAAACCGAACAAUUAACCACUACUCCAAAUCAAUUAUAUGUC